GUUCCCGCCCGCUCUCCUUUUCAAGCGUUCAUUCGCAAGUCAGCUCCGCGUUGUUUUGCCGUAAAAGCCGUGAAAAUUGUGAAAAUCCAUCGGGGAAAACGGUCGCCCAGCUCCGUAGUGUAGUCCAGCAGUGUUUAAAUAUAAAAAACAACCCAAGUUCAACGUUGCUACAGUGUUUAGGGCAAAAAAAGCAAUGCGUGGGUGAACGCGGACCAAAAGCCACAAAGAAAGCUCCGUAAAUGCGUGCAAGUGCAGUGCAAAAGUGAUUUAUAUGUUUUGGAUGUAUGGAAACAUAUUAUAAAUAAACAUUCAAUCAUUUUGUUCAUGUCCAAACAAGCAUAAAUAGCCAAGGAAGCACCUUAUGUCCACAGGCGUCUCAUGUUUUUUUUUUCAUUCGGUCACGCGUUGCCCGCGGCUUGCAAUAAGAAUAUGCAGAAAAGGUUCCAAGAGAGAGAGAGAGAGAGCACACCCACUCCACCAUGUGGUAGGCGAUGCGAAGAUGAGCAAUCUUUUAUGCUCUCCCGCCAAGUGUCACACUCUAAUAAGGUGAGGCACUCCAAAUUCUGGAGAUGUCACCUCUCUCUCCAUCAACAUUUGGGAAUGUGCGUGGGAGUCUGCCCUCUAGUGGCUCACCUUACUAUUUAUAUACCCAAAAUGCGAGCUCUUAUUGGAAUUGCUGUUUACAAAUCGUUGUUCGUGUGCGUGGGCGAAGGGGAGAAAUAACGAUCGCAAAAAAGGAAAUGUAUAUAAGAGCUGGAAGUACAAAGAGAAGCAGACGAAUAAAGCAAUGCAAAUCUAACGGGACAACAAUUACGGCAAAAAGAACACACACAAUUAUGCUGUGGCGGACAGUGAACACUGGAAAGAGCGGCCUGCCAACAGUGAAGUCUAGAAAGCGGACACUGGACGAUGGACACUGGACGCUGGACGCUGGACGAUGGACACUGGACACUGGAGAUAAUUUAUGCAGCUCGUGUCACCGAUUGAUCGAUGACUGGGGGCCACCAUACACCGUCCACCACAAUCCACACUCCACAAUCCACAUCAUCUGCAGCAGCUGGAUAUUUACCGUUUCGAAUCGCUUCGGGGGGCUGGCGAUGGGGCUGGCGAUGGGGCCGAGUGAACCGAUUCGUUUGCCAACUCAAUUAUGGGGCGAUAUUCAAGAAGAUUUGUGUGGCAGACACAUAAAACAAGACACUCGCGUUGUUCAAUGAACGAAUGAAUGAAUGGAACUGCUCUACGACUGGGUGUCGCAGUGGCCUUUUCUUCUUCUGCCCAUCGAGACGGGCUCUUUUUUGUUAAUUAAGCUACAUUUCAUAUGCAGCUGAUGGAUUUAUGAAUAAAGCGCCAGCACCACACCACACCACACACCACACACUCCCCAAAAAGAGUAAAAA